rnacentral:rRNA from 1 species
AGAGUUUGAUCCUGGCUCAGGACGAACGCUGGCGGCGUGCCUAAUACAUGCAAGUCGAGCGCUUGCACAAGAAAGCUUGCUUUCUUGUUGCUUGAGCGGCGGACGGGUGAGUAACACGUGGGCAACCUGCCUAUAAGACUGGGAUAACUUCGGGAAACCGGAGCUAAUACCGGAUAAUGCUUUUGAACACAUGUUUGAAAGCUGAAAGAUGGUUUCGGCUAUCACUUAUAGAUGGGCCCGCGGCGCAUUAGCUAGUUGGUGAGGUAACGGCUCACCAAGGCGACGAUGCGUAGCCGACCUGAGAGGGUGAUUGGCCACACUGGGACUGAGACACGGCCCAGACUCCUACGGGAGGCAGCAGUAGGGAAUCUUCCGCAAUGGACGAAAGUCUGACGGAGCAACGCCGCGUGAGUGAUGAAGGUUUUCGGAUCGUGAAACUCUGUUGUUAGGGCAGAACAAGUACCAGAGUAACUGCCGGUACCUUGACGGUACCUAACCAGAAAGCCACGGCUAACUACGUGCCAGCAGCCGCGGUAAUACGUAGGUGGCAAGCGUUGUCCGGAAUUAUUGGGCGUAAAGCGCGCGCAGGCGGUUCCUUAAGUCUGAUGUGAAAGCCCACGGCUCAACCGUGGAGGGUCAUUGGAAACUGGGGAACUUGAGUGCAGAAGAGAAGAGCGGAAUUCCACGUGUAGCGGUGAAAUGCGUAGAGAUGUGGAGGAACACCAGUGGCGAAGGCGGCUCUUUGGUCUGUAACUGACGCUGAGGCAUGAAAGCGUGGGGAGCAAACAGGAUUAGAUACC